UUUGCUCGGAACCCAAGAGUUCCAUUUGAAAGCUCCCACCUCCACUUUUAACCCAAUUUUUUCUGCGAUUUGUCUUCUAAAUUCACUGACCGAGAAGCCUGGUUCUUGAAGAAACAUUUGAUUAUGCAUGUUUGAUCCGUAUAAGUUGUGGAUUUGGGGGUGUGACAGCCUGGUUGCUGGCCAUCCGCAUCAUUCCUGCCCAAAGUUUCAGUCGCCAUAACCCCUGCUUUUAACACGUCUUUUUUGACUCCUAAAAUGUCUUUCCACAGCCCUGUUACAUCUUUUUUUAACGGAACCUGAAUGUUGUCACUUUGGUGCCCAUGAAUAGCCUGAAUAACUGAAACCCAUAAUUGGUUUGGGAAGUUUCGGAAUCGCCAUCUCCAUUUAUAGAGGAAAGCCCAAUUUAAGCUUCUAAUUUCGCCCAACCCGAGACCCCCCCUAUGCUUUGGCGCUUGAAUU
rnacentral:lncRNA from 1 species